rnacentral:misc_RNA from 1 species
UAUUGAAUUUUGUGAGUUUUGUUUGAGUAACUUGUAUGGAUAAAUAAUUAGUAGUUGUAAUUAUUUUUCCUUUAUGAUAGAUUUGUUAGUUGAGUAAAUUUACGCCAAACCACGUUAAAUUUUGCGUUCUUUAAUUUGUGUGGGUGAGUUUUUCAUAACAAGUGAUAUCAGAGCUGUGGUUCGAUAUGUCAAAUAUGGUGAACACAAAAUUAAGGUUGAACCAUUUGAUGGGAAAAAUAAUUUGAGUCUGUGGGUCCUUAUACAACAAUGAUUAAUUAAAAUAUUGAACGAAAAACAACCGACGACCAUUAAAGAUGAUAAUUGGGGGGAGCUUCAACAAAGGGUGGUGAGCAUGAUUAGAUUGACGUUAGCCCUAGAUGUGAGGCACAAUAUCUUGAAGGAGAUUUCGCCAAUUGUUCUGUGAAAGAAAUUAGAGAGCUUGUAUAUGUCAAAGUCACUCACAAAUCGCUUGUGCUUG